GACGAACGCUGGCGGCGUGCUUAACACAUGCAAGUCGAACGGAAAGGCCCUGCUUUUGUGGGGUGCUCGAGUGGCGAACGGGUGAGUAACACGUGAGUAACCUGCCCUGGACUUUGGGAUAACUUCAGGAAACUGGGGCUAAUACCGGAUAGGUGCUCCUGCUGCAUGGUGGGGGUUGGAAAGUUUCGGCGGUUGGGGAUGGACUCGCGGCUUAUCAGCUUGUUGGUGGGGUAGUGGCUUACCAAGGCUUUGACGGGUAGCCGGCCUGAGAGGGUGACCGGCCACAUUGGGACUGAGAUACGGCCCAGACUCCUACGGGAGGCAGCAGUGGGGAAUAUUGCACAAUGGGCGGAAGCCUGAUGCAGCAACGCCGCGUGCGGGAUGACGGCCUUCGGGUUGUAAACCGCUUUCGCCUGUGACGAAGCGUGAGUGACGGUAAUGGGUAAAGAAGCACCGGCUAACUACGUG
rnacentral:rRNA from 1 species